rnacentral:lncRNA from 1 species
UUUUUUUUUUUUUUUCUUGUCUUUUUGCCUUUUCUAGGGCCGCUCCUGUGGCACAUGGAGGUUCCCAGGCUAGGGGUCGAAUCAGAGCUGUAGCCGCUGGCCUACGCCAGAGCCACAGCAAUGUGGGAUCCGAGCUGCGUCUGCAAUCCACACCGUAGCUCACAGCAACGCUGGACCCUUAACCCACUGAGCAAGGCCAAGGAUUGAACCCUCAACCCCAUGGUUUCUUGUCGGAUUCGUUAACCACAGCACCACAACGGGAACUCCCAAGCUAGGUUAUUUCUAUGAAGCAUCUCCAUUCAUAAAGAAUCGAUGCUACCAAGUGAAACAUUUUAUGAAAUAAAAGGUGGGACACUGGACGGCUAGCUGGCUAGAAGCAAAGCUAAGGAGGAACAGACUCACCAAUUUUGGGUCUCAUUACCAAUUUAAAUGAAUAAAUACAUGAGCAUACCAUCUGAAAAAUGACAAAUCCAAGUCAUCAUCAAAAUACAUUUUACUUCAAAAUCAAUCUGAAGGCUUGGUUAUUUCUAUAGUCUUAGUCUAUACUCGCUGGUAUUAAACGGCACAGUUAAUUUUUAGAGCUUUAGCCCGGAUCCAUCUAAAUGCAUUAUUUUGAGAUCAAUUUUGUUUCUUCCCUAAGGUAAGGAUUGUGUAAACCAUGGGUAAAUACAUCAUACAUACAUCAAAGUGGGAUUAUGACAGUUAAGUCUGAAGCAGAAAGUAGCUUAAAAAGAAUACAUUAAAUGGCUUAAAGGCUUAAAUAUAAGACAUGACACCAUAAAACUCCUAGAAGAGAAUAUAGGCAAAAUGCUCUCUGAUGUAAAUCAUACCAAUGUUUUCUUAGGUCAGUCUCCCAAGGCAAUACAAAAAAAGCAAAAAUAAACAAAUUAGACCUAUCAAACUUAGAAGCUUUUGCAAUAAAAUAAAAUAAAUAAAUAAAAUAAAAGACAACCUAUGGAUUCGGAGAAAAUAUCUGCAAAGGAUGCGACCAACAAGGGCUUAUACAAACAGCUCAUACAACUCAAUAAUGAAACAAGCAAACAAACAAUCCAAUGAAAAAAAUGGGCAGUAAACCCAAAUGGACAUUUCUCCAAAGAAGACAUACACAGAUGGCCAACAGGCACAGGAGAAGAUGUUCAUCAUCAUCAGAGGAGUGCAAGUCAAAACGAUCACCUCACGGGAGUUCCCAUGGCGGCUCAGUGGUAACAAACCCGACUAGUAACCAUGAGGAUGCAGGAGUCUUUACAGAGCUGUAUUUUGAAGUGGCUCACGCAUUUGAGUACCUAUUUUUCGUCUUUUUCAUUC